rnacentral:piRNA from 1 species
UAAGUCUCUAAAGGCCACUGUGGACUCAU